CAGUCUGACUCUUCUCAGAGUGAACACUUGCACAAUGGAUCUUCAUUCAGUUAUUCUGUUCUGUGCCUUAGAAGCUGCUGUCUUUGGAAAUGUUAUCAAACCAAACAAAACAACUGUUGUUUAUGAGGAGGGUUCAAAUAUUAUAUUAAUCUGUAGUCAUUCCCCUGGAAAUUCAGAUUACCUCCACUGGUACCGUCAGUAUGGAAGAUCAAAACCUGAAUUUCUUGUACUCACCUACGGUAGUUCAAAGGAAGCUGCAGUGUCUGAUGUAGAUCCAAGAUUCACUGUUAAAGUUGAAAAAAGGGAACAAAACCAUGCGGAUCUGAAUAUCUCCUCUGCUUCUGUAUCAGAUUCUGCUCUGUACUACUGUGCUCUGGCGCCCACAGUGACAGGAAACACAUCAGCUCUCUACAAAAACCUGCUAUAAUGAGAGACAAGAGAGAAACACAGAGACAGCGAUGAAGACAGAGAGAAAUAAGCUGUAACUGUUUUGUGUACAGUAUAC